rnacentral:rRNA from 1 species
AUGUUGGCCGGGCGACGGUUGUCCCGGUUUAAGCGUGUAGGCUGGUUUUCCAGGCAAAUCCGGAAAAUCAAGGCUGAGGCGUGAUGACGAGGCACUACGGUGCUGAAGCAACAAAUGCCCUGCUUCCAGGAAAAGCCUCUAAGCAUCAGGUAACAUCAAAUCGUACCCCAAACCGACACAGGUGGUCAGGUAGAGAAUACCAAGGCGCUUGAGAGAACUCGGGUGAAGGAACUAGGCAAAAUGGUGCCGUAACUUCGGGAGAAGGCACGCUGAUAUGUAGGUGAAGUCCCUUGCGGAUGGAGCUGAAAUCAGUCGAAGAUACCAGCUGGCUGCAACUGUUUAUUAAAAACACAGCACUGUGCAAACACGAAAGUGGACGUAUACGGUGUGACGCCUGCCCGGUGCCGGAAGGUUAAUUGAUGGGGUCAGCGCAAGCGAAGCUCUUGAUCGAAGCCCCGGUAAACGGCGGCCGUAACUAUAACGGUCCUAAGGUAGCGAAAUUCCUUGUCGGGUAAGUUCCGACCUGCACGAAUGGCGUAAUGAUGGCCAGGCUGUCUCCACCCGAGACUCAGUGAAAUUGAACUCGCUGUGAAGAUGCAGUGUACCCGCGGCAAGACGGAAAGACCCCGUGAACCUUUACUAUAGCUUGACACUGAACAUUGAGCCUUGAUGUGUAGGAUAGGUGGGAGGCUUUGAAGUGUGGACGCCAGUCUGCAUGGAGUCGACCUUGAAAUACCACCCUUUAAUGUUUGAUGUUCUAACGUGGACCCGUGAUCCGGGUUGCGGACAGUGUCUGGUGGGUAGUUUGACUGGGGCGGUCUCCUCCUAAAGAGUAACGGAGGAGCACGAAGGUUGGCUAAUCCUGGUCGGACAUCAGGAGGUUAGUGCAAUGGCAUAAGCCAGCUUGACUGCGAGCGUGACGGCGCGAGCAGGUGCGAAAGCAGGUCAUAGUGAUCCGGUGGUUCUGAAUGGAAGGGCCAUCGCUCAACGGAUAAAAGGUACUCCGGGGAUAACAGGCUGAUACCGCCCAAGAGUUCAUAUCGACGGCGGUGUUUGGCACCUCGAUGUCGGCUCAUCACAUCCUGGGGCUGAAGUAGGUCCCAAGGGUAUGGCUGUUCGCCAUUUAAAGUGGUACGCGAGCUGGGUUUAGAACGUCGUGAGACAGUUCGGUCCCUAUCUGCCGUGGGCGCUGGAGAACUGAGGGGGGCUGCUCCUAGUACGAGAGGACCGGAGUGGACGCAUCACUGGUGUUCGGGUUGUCAUGCCAAUGGCACUGCCCGGUAGCUAAAUGCGGAAGAGAUAAGUGCUGAAAGCAUCUAAGCACGAAACUUGCCCCGAGAUGAGUUCUCCCUGACCCUUUAAGGGUCCUGAAGGAACGUUGAAGACGACGACGUUGAUAGGCCGGGUGUGUAAGCGCAGCGAUGCGUUGAGCUAACCGGUACUAAUGAACCGUGAGG